CUCAGUAUGAAUGGUGUAGCUUCAGGAGGACUGCUCUCAUGCACAAAGUACCCAAGUUUGUGAAGAGAAACAGAAAGAGAGAGAGAGAGAGAGAGAGAGAGAGAGAGGGGGGCAGGUAGAGCGCGCGCAAACUUGUAUGCUGUGAGUUUAGGGGGAUUUUUUUUUUUAGUCCGCAGUGCACAACUUUCAAAGCCUGAAAAUGUCAGUGUCAAAUAUUGGUGCAAAAGCGCGCUUUGCAAAAGUUGGAGGAGGUUGAAAAGAGAAAGAAAAAGACGUGCAGAGUUUGCUCAUGGCUGUCAGUGAUGUGGGGUAAGUCUGCACAUUUAUUCUCUUUUAUGAAUCAAACGCAUGAAAGUGAGAUGAGUCUUCCACUUCACAGCUGGGCGCUCUUCAAAGUCCAAACGAGGAAGCAGUUUAUGUGACUUUGGCAGAUAUCCAGACUGUGAACUCGCAACUUUACAGCGCUAUUUCAACACUUAUUUCCAGUCAUUUAGACUUUUUGGAUCUAUGGUAAGAGGUAUGAGGGCCAUGCAGCAGAACUCGGCCAUGCGUAAUGGGCGGGUUCAGCAAAGAUAAAAGGAAGUAUGUGGUAUCAGACAGAGAUAGUAACACGGUCUUCCUCUUCCUUCUCUAAAAUUUUCAAGGGUUUUGAAUGACUUGGCCUGCAACGCUUUCCUAUGACCUGGUUGCAGCAUGUUUGCAGUUUUCCUCUGAAAGCUCAAGGUAUAGGCGCACAAGAAGGGCCUUAUGCGCAACACCCGGAAUGAAAACUCUCAGAAAUGUCCUUGUGAUCCUUCUGAUAGUCGGUGAUAUUUUAGUUUGAUCCGGAUCGGUAUGUUGACUUGGCUGGUGAGCGUCACCUCCCGGAAAGAGCCUUGAUGCUAGAAUGCAGUGGGCGUCACUUAAAUACUUUAUAAAAUGCCUCAGGAUGAAGUCACUGGCAGAUGCUGCGUUCAAAUGCUGCUGGGAACGAGAAGAACUCCCACAGUGUGAUUGUACCUCAGAAAUAAGACUCCAAAGACACCCACAAGAGAACAAAACUCACUCACAUUGUCAUUUUGAGUGGUUUGAAUAAGAAAAUGUCUGCGCAAUUGGUUCAUACGGGUAGAUAAAAUCAAACAUAUAAUUCCAAUUUGAAAGAAGCUGCAGUUUGUGACAACUGAAUUGGCAAGGAUUCAAAACUAAACUCUUUUAGGUUACAAAGACCCAUCUAUACCUCACUUAUCCAGAGUACCUUCUUUUUAAAGCACAGGCACUAAACAAACCCAAUUCAAGGUCCAAACUGCCAAACUUCCUGCAUCAGUAAACCUAAAACCAGUUAUUUUAAAAACAGACAUGAUUUCCUCUUCUGUAUCUUGUGAAAAUCUACUGACUGAUGAUCUGAUUAUAACUGCUUUGUGUUUGCAGUGGUAUGCAGCUAAUAUCCGCAGUAAUUGAGACCACUGACUUCACACAAAAUGGACAUGUCCCUGUUUGGCCCAGUGUGAAAUAUUAAGCCAGAGGACCGCCUUAGUAGGUGCAGUCAUAUUGCGCUGGUGCAGCCAAGGAAUGUUCUAAAGCAACCUGGCAGGUAGAACUGCAGGACAGAUGUCCCACCCUUUCUGCCAAGCCAAACAGGUAUUCAAGCCACUGAUAAAACAGUGAAGGUCCCUCGGGUCAUUUCAGAGCACGGAAAACAGAUUCUUGUGUUGAUUUGAAGCUGAAACCUUUGGCUGUGGUAAAUUCAACAACUCUUGCGUUUGAGUUGUGUUUUUUCUCUGUGUAUACUGUAUAUGCUGAUCUGGUAAGGGACACUUUUCAAAACAAAAGUGUACUUUGACAUAAAUCAGAUUGAUAUGAACUGACUAUAAUGACAGAGACCAUGUUUGAGGAAACUUAAUUCAACAUGCAUUUAAAAUUUGUAGUUAGGCCCAUGUUCCAUCAUUUGUCAGUAGAGGGAGCUCUAAAUCUUUUGGCCUCAUGGUUAAUGAACACUUAUGGCAUCCAUUACAAAAUACAGUCUAUGGUUUAGCAACCAUAACACUAGCUGUCAGGACUGAUCCAAGACACAGACAUAUAUAAGAAAGGCUAGAUGAGUCGGAGUCACUGGCGUCCGCUUAUGGCGGCCAUCUUACUUCAGUAUACCAUUCUGGUAUAUUGUAUGGUAGCUGAUGGAAGGUGAGUAAUUUGCAUCAUCAAAAAUACUCUUAACUCGCUGAAAUCUUGACAGAUUUACAACAGUUUUGUUUAUUACAUACCUUAAUAAUGUGGCUAUGAGUCGGGAUGCUUGGACAUAUUGAAUAUUAAAAUCAUUCUUGAGUAUGCAGAAGCGUAACUAAAAUUCUGAGGUUUGUUACAAACCAAACUGUUUGAUCAUCGGUUUAAAGUUAAGCAAUUUAUGGUUAAUUAAAUGCUACAUGCACCGUAGACUUUAAUGUUAUGAGUGGGUGAGCUGCCUGGAGCAAGAUGGUCGCCUUGUGCGGACGUCAGUCUCCAUUGGCUAACAGUGUGCGUAAUGCAUCUAGCGCGUAUGUAUAUAUACAUAUCUGAUCCAAGAUGCACUGAUAGCAGCACUUAAGUGUGCAGUGGUUCACAUACAGUCAGCUUGUUAACUUUCUGCUUGAUUUGUGGAUUUACUGAUGAAGAGGUUGCAUGUUUUGUUGAUGUUGAAUAUUAAAAACUGAUAGAAUAAGAACCCUGUAACUCCAGCAAAGCUCAUGUGAUUUUAUCUGAACAUUUUAUUCCAAAUGACAGUGAUAUUAGCAUUUCCUUCUCUGUUUGCCCUUUGCUAUUACUGGAUGUAAAAGCUAACACAAACCUCAACCCUAACCUGCCAUAAAUACACAGACCCAUUUUCAUUAAGACAGAGUGUUAAUAUUCAGUAAAUUGGCCAAAGAUGAUAGUCACAGGCUACUUUUCCCUUCCUAUUGUUACAACACCACUUCCUUUUUCCACGUUUUGAAUAUAAGAGUGUAGGUGAACUCUAUAAGGUGGUGUGGAGUGUGUGGGUGGGAGUUUCAUUAUUAGUGACAUGGGGUUCCCCUGCCCCUGUUUCCUUCAUUCAUGUGGCUGGAGAUUGAAGGGUAUUGAGCUGUCAACCCGGAUGUGAGCUGAGCAUUCAGUGGUUGUGUUUGAGGGACAGAGGAGGAGAGACUGUACAUGAGUGAGAGUUAGCAAGAGAGAGGCAGAGACAGUGUCAGUGUGAGUGACAGGGGAACAGAAAAUGUGUGUGCGUAAGCGUAAAACAAACGUAUGUGUCUGUGUGGGUGAGAAACAUGCUCAAUCAUUUCCUCAUUGUGCUUCAUAGUGUCCCAAGCAGCAAAAACUUUCUCUUAUCACCUGCACCAUUUUGCAUCCCCAAUGUGAUCAGAAGGAGGAAGCCCAACACACGCGUACAAACACACACUUUGCUGUUAAUUCAUAUCACAUAUUUUUGGCACAAACAGAAGAUGACAGAUUACAUGUUAAAUACUCAGAAAGAUAUGUCGCAGCCUUGCCUGAUAAGCAUUGUCAUAUCUGGCCAGUUGUGAUUGCCGUGAAGAUACUGCAGCUGUGGGACAAAGUAAGUAAAAGGCUUUGUGUAAUCCUUGUCCAAUUUACUGCUAAUUAUGAAAUGAAGUGGUAUUUGCGAGUUAACUUAAUGAAAAAUAUGUGUUAAAUAUGUUUUUUUUAUACUUUGAUUGGCAUGAUCUGAAUCAUUGAUCAGGGGUAAAAUUUGGGCUCAGUAAUAGUUUUUAUCUUUGGGUCUGUGAGAUGCACUAGGGGGCAGUGUUUGUCUAGAACUUUGUGUGACCUCUAACAAUUUUCAAAAUGUAAAAACCUGGGCCUCAUGUGGGGUGACCUUAAAGAAUUGAUGGCAAGAAAUCCCAGCUGUAGUUACACUGGCGUCACCCAUUGAUCCUAAAGUAGAACUGAAUGGUGACAGUCGCCAUGUGGGAAAUGCUAAUUCAACAAAAAGCAGUGACGCAGGGUUGAAGUGGGUCUUUAACCCCCUGACAAACAGCUCCAAUAAACCUGCCUCAUUAUGCUAAACUUGUAACCUUCAAACAAAUUAGUUAAAAAGAAAUCACCUCUGCACAGUGUGUUGGUUUUUAGGGGCAGCCCCAAGUGGAUACUGAAGGAAUUACAUUUUUUGGCACUUAAGCAUUGGCUCUAUUUUCUUAUACUUGCCUGGUUUAUAUGUACGAUGAAGAAUUAGGGCCACAAUAAAAAAAAUUAGACUUUGAGAUUAAAGUUAAUUUAUGAGAAUAAAAUCAAGAGUAACGAGAAUGAAGUUGUAAGUAAUUACUUAAUAGAAUAAAGUCGCAGUAAAAAUCAUUACUUACAAGAAUAAAGUCAUAAUAAAAUCAUUAUGAUACUUAUGAUAAUGUGGUGCUGAUGUGCCAAAAGAUGAAGUAUCUCCUUGUUUGAGAAACCUAUAUUGAAGUACAUUUUUUACGAAAUGCUCCAUAGCUCUCAUUUCAACAAUUGUCAUCUUAAACAACAGGUUAGAAUAUAAGAACUUUAUUCUGACUUAACUCUCGUUAGUGAUUACUUUACUACGACUUUAUUCUUAAGUAUUAACUUUAUUACGCCUUUUUUCUCGUAAGUUAUAAUUUUAUUACAACUUUAUUCUCGUAAGUAAUGAUUUUAUUCUCAAAAAUUAAUCUCAAAGACUUAAUUUUGAUUUUUUCUUACUGUGGCCCUAAUACUCCAUCGUAUAUAUGCACACAGGUGUUUUCAUGUAUUUUACCCAAAGGACCUCUUUUAUGUCGCUGGUUGGAGUCCACCUUACUCAAGUUACAUCUUCUCCAGUUUAGCACAGACUUCAAGCAAAACUUAGAUGUUAAUAAAAAAAAGCAAACAAGAUCAUCAACGAUGGGUCUGAUGGUUUCUAAACAGUUCAUGUGAAAGCCUCUAGCUGAUGCUUGGUGUUGGAUAAAAUACCUUACAACUCAAUGGAGAAAGAGCAUUUGUAAACAUUUUCUACAGCAAAAAGGAGGGGGAGGGUUCACAAAUUAUAGGAACAAACAAAAAAAGCUUUUGUAAGUAUGCAACUCUGCAAAAUGUGCAAAAAUAUUUCAGAGUUCUUAAUCAUUUUAAUGUCUGAGUACAUUUUGUACUUCCUCAUUGUCUAACAUGUCAAAGGAGAAUGUGUCACCCUACCCACGACUAUCUGCAUGUACUUAACACUUCAUUCAUAAAAAAGAAAUUCCUUCACCAUUGUAAGAUCAUUUACCAUAAAGUAGUGACUCCUUUGAUGACAGUAAAGAAUGCCUUCGCUCAGGUUUAGUUGUUAUAUUUAGCCUGUGUUUUGGCUCAGUGGGCAUGGAAAUGAAUUCAAAGCAGGAACUGGUUGAUUAUAGGCUGCUUUGUGUGCCUUGCCUCUGAACAAACAAAUUAGAGGAAAUAAACAAGAGAAGUUGCCAGGGGGAGACGGAAAAAUGAAGGCGGAGGAGAGACAAAGGUGUGAGGUUGAUCUCAAGUUUAACUCCAUCCUUCACAGCCCUGUGUGGUGAAGGUUCAAGUGGCACAUAGAUGAAUUUAUCUCCAUCAUGUGUUGGAGUGUCAGUCUCGGGGGGGGGGGGGGGGGGCUUAUCUGAAACAAGCUAAUUUCAGCAGGCGAGAUCUUUUAGACUCAAAAGUAAAACAAAAAAGCUUUAGUGUCUCGUGCUUCUGAUCAAAACUGUAAAGGAGACGAGAAAGUACAGAAAAGAGUGGAGGAAGGUGUCACCAUUUGACUCAACACGUCAUACACUAGAAAGAUGAAACCGAUACUCUGCUGCUUCAGGGGAAAGAAACAACUUGCAAGCUUGGUCAAAUAUUAUUAUCUUGAAGCAGACACAUGUUGAUUUUCAAAUCUAGAUAAAUGAAAAGUUAUUUAUUUUCAUCCCCCAAUAUUAAUCUCUCUUUUAGCUCUGGUUGUCCUCCACUUACAGGGAGGGAAAUGCACUCAGUUCAGGGCAUUUUACUGUUUGCAAAAUGUUGCUAGUGAAUAUCACAUGCCCUGUAAAGACACAAAGAGAGUUAUUAAGUCUCCUCUGUCCUCUGUAAGGAAUUCCUGUUUGGUGUGGUCCUAUUCAUGCAGUCAGCUUUCACUCAGGGUAGUGUAUUCAGCAGCUACAACCUGUCCAACCACAGUAGUGCUCAAUCUAUCCCCUCGCUGUCCUUCUGUGGUGGAGAUGCUUUACUUCCGCUAACAUCCACCCAUCAGUAGCAGGUGUCUCAGAGGCUACUUCUGCUUUUAUUGUUGCAGCGAGCAAUGCAAACCACAGAUAGCUCAUUCAAAUGAGAGUAAACCCUGUGUCUAUUUGUGCAGCGACAAAACCAAAUGAGUAGGCAGCUUCUACGCAACACACAUACUGAAAUUAGCUCAACUCAUCUCACCGUCACGGUUUUAAUCCUUAUUUGCUCCAGUUAAGCAUAAGUCAUGUCGGUCAGAUUUGAAAUUCAACAGAUCUUUGAUCGUCAAGAAGCCAGGUCAAGUCUUAAAUCAAACUUUAUUUAUGAAGUGCUUUUCAAACAGAGGAAAAGCACUUUAUAGAUAAAGUUUGAUCUCAACUUGAUAGUAUGAACAUAAUUCAGCCAGUUUUAUUGGAUUAAUCAAAUUAGAAAUUAAAGAUUUGUGUACUUUUUAGGCUUAGACCAAAGCUUCAUUAUUUCGACUCUUGUGGCUGUGCUUCCAUUCUCAUGUCCUCCCUGAAGGUGAUGGAGUACCUUGUUCCUGUAUGUGUUUCCCAUUUACAACCACCAUUGGUUGUAUGAAACCUGAGCCAAAGGUACUAAUGUUAGAGUGAAUUUCCAUAAUGACUUCAAAACCGGGCAGCCACUUUGCUUCAUUUUCAGCUUAGUAGUUCAAGUAAGGAGUUGUAGAAGCUCAUGAUAGUCCUAAGGAAUAGUUUGACAUAUUGAAGCCAAAAUAGAUUUGCUGUCUUGUUGAGAGAUAUCGCACACUUUAGAUACACUUUAACCAAACAAAGGUACAAUUUAAAGGGAUAUUUGGGCGUAAAACUAAUUUAGGGUCAAACACACCACAACACCGAGUUAGACACCCCCUCUAGAGAUGAAUGUUGCUGACCACUUGCUUCUCUAGUUAUAUCAACUUUAGUAAUGACCGCAUGAUAGUAAUACACAGCGGUCUGAGGAGCCAUAAACAAACCUCAACCAAAACGCCACUCUAUAGCCACAAAUAAUGCUCAGAACAGCACCUAACUUCAUCAACGGUACAUAAAGGGUUCCAGCCACAGCACUAGCCACCAUACAUCUUUUUAGCUUUGCCUGAUUUUUUUUAGCAAAGAGACUAAACACAACUCACCCACUCUCUUCCAAAAUAUUUAUGCUAUUAAAUUUAAAGGAACAGUUCUUACAGACGUCUGUGCAGCCCAGGCGUGUGCAGUGUUACAGCUAAGGCCAGAGCAAAGUUGAUUCAAUGUUCACCAACAUGAUUCAUGAGUCAGGGCUAGGCUCAGAUAUAAAUAGAGUACAGUAAACUUACAGUACAUACAUCAACACUCUGUAUGUAGUAGCACACAUUCAUACAUCACUCAUUGCACAGUGACAGAGGCACUUCCUCUUUUGUCAAGUCAAGCCUCAGUUUAGACGGAAAAGCAAGAAACUCUUAUCACCAACAUGUCAUCUAAUCAGGAACACAAAAACAGCAGCCUCGUUAGCUCGACUCCUGUUGAUGGGCGAUGUGUUGCACAUGUCAGAUUAGCAGAUGAGGUUUGAAUGUUUCCUGAAAGCCCGAGUUUUGGUGUGAAAGAUGUUUCUAUGAGUAGAAACACAGAAACCACAGAAUGUGUGUUAUGCAAAGGACUGAAAAAAACUCAAAGCCCAGUGAAAUUUUUUAGGUGUAACAGUGAGUGUUAGGAGCAAGUAAAUCUGAGUGUGAAACCUUGUGUAAGUCAAUUUUAUGUAGAAGUGUGAGUGAGUAGGUGGACUGCAGGAGCAAACCUGUUGCUUCUGCAUCCAACUGGAACUUUUUAUUCUUCUAUUUUGAAAGCAAAGUGAAAGCACAGACGUUUUGACCUGUCAGCAGCUAUCACAUUGCAUCAGCCUUUUAAAAAACAUAUCUGUAGAUAACUUGCAGAGCAUUUAGUGCAUGCGGGGGGUUGUCUUAUCACUGGUGUGUGCUUUACUUCUAUGAGGUUCUGAGGGAGUGAGGGUUAUGUUUUCAUUCCUCUCUGCUCCUUAGAGAGAUCUCACAGGCUGUUUUCUUGUUUGGCUACACAAUGCACCCUUUCACCCAGAAAUCAGCUUGUGUGAUAAUUUUCAGAAACCUCUGGCAAUAAAAGGGUUUCCGUGGGUAUCUGUGUCAUCAAAUUAAGUUUUAAAGUGCUAAAAUCACAGCCGUGCAGGCUAAGUAGUGCUGUAAAUACAGUAUGUGAGACUGUCCUCAAGGAUUUGACAAGGGACAUCACAAUUUUAAGGUUGAUUUGCAAAAUUUGGUGCAAGUACAGACACUAUUUUUAAAAAUGUCCUUUUUCUUUUUCUUCCUCUAAGUGACUGAUUCUAAUUUGAGUUGCAAUUGAACUUAUAGUGAUUGUACAAAAUCUUAAACCUUGAGCCAUUGGCAGAUGUAUUCAGUUUUGUUCUGUGGCUCUUGAGGUUUUGCUCUUGACAGUGAGACCGUCUCCCUCUGCCUCUCUGUCGACACCUUCACUUGGGUAUCAGUCAGGGCCUGAUCUGUUUUCACGUUCGGUUCACUGAGAGUAACAGUGACUCUCAUUUUCAUACCUUAAUAGGCAACAACUCUCAUGUCUGUUAUCAGAACUUGUACUCUGAAUGUCUUCCUGGAUAAAGGUUGUACCUGCAACAUCAAAUACAGACGGUUUGGUUUGGGGGUCACGCUGGUUUACAGUUUAAACUGAUGGCUUUCUGUAAGAUGUUGCAUCAGGGUGCAGUUGGGUGGUGACAGCUCUUGUUUAGGUGCCACUGAAGGGUUAACUGCCUCACACUGUGAAGCUUACCGGCACCUAACGGCUACCACAAGUGCACCAUACAGCACUGCUGUGGGGUUUUUAGUCAGAGCUACUGGUUUCCAGUAAAGACCUGCGCCCAGUGCCUUCAGAGCAGAGGAAGUGGUGGUGGAGUCUGAAAGUCUUUUCAGAUGGAGACAAAAGUUUUCAUGCAUCAGUUGAAAAAAGAAAAAAAAUCAGUCUCACAUGCAUUUACAUAAUUGCUUUUUAUUUCACUUAGCCAAUUUUACUGCCAUUUCCUGAGAGCUGGAGGGAGAGGUCAAGGGUCAAAGCAACAGCACCCUACAAUUAACAAAAAUUAAAGCUCUGAACUAAAUAUUUAGAGUUAGUUAUAGAAAAUUAGAACAGGCUCAGGUGCUGACAGGCUCAAAGACAUAUAAAAAAGACCCAUUUUGUUUCUGUAUGUAUUUAUUUAUUAUCAAUUUAUUGUUAAGGAACAAAGGAACCGUAAAUCAUGUGGAGCGAAUACACAGGCCUGUGGCGCCACUUUGUGGAAGAGCAAUGUUGUUACACUGAGCGCAUAAAUUCACAUGUGCUGUAAACGCAAGAGCAACGCUACUACUUAACAAAUAAAUGCAACAUUGCUGGUCACAUUGUAUUCGGAUUGUGGAGUAAAAUUUUCUCUUAUCGAUGUCAAACCUGACAAAAUAAGAAGACAAAAUGAGUGACAACCAAUAAGCCAUGAAAGUCUCCCAUACAGCCUGAUUUUCUCAGUUGUUUUCUACUGCCAACCUUUAGGCCUUGGACACAGGAGUACUUUGCUGCCACCUGCUGGUGAAUUUAAAAGUUGACGUAGUAUAAACCAUCUUUCAAAGUCUGAUAGUGCAAACCCAUACCCACUUUCUAAAACUUUAUAUAGUACCAUUAUUAUUAUUUCCUUUUACUGUAUAUCUUCAGCUGAUUUCAUACAGAUUUGUUUUUUUCAAACUUGAAAGAUUUUACUUUUCUCAUUUUAUCUUUAUUGUCUCACACACAUUCAAAGCUUAGGACUUCCUGAUCUCACAUUUGUUUACGAAUCAGUUUGUUAAACUGAACCAAAAAGAGAGCGAUUGCAGAGUUUGGGUUGUAGAAGUAGGUAUGAGGCUUCUGGCUGAAUUUACCUUGCUACUUUUUCUGGCUUUUAGUAUAAAAGAGAAAAAAAAAACAUGAGAAGGUGAAACAAACUGUGGUUACAUGUAAAUAUGCCUGUGUCUGUGUGAAUGCAUUACAACCAGCAUGAGUGUUUAACAUUGACUAAUGAGUGAGACUGUAUAUAUUAGGGAGGUGUACUGUAUGUAUGAACGAAUGUAUGAAUUAAUGUAAAAUCUGGUGCAUUUGUUUUAAGAUGUAUUUUCCUGGUAUUUCUAGCUGUUGCCAGGAGGGGGCAGUGUUUUCCAAGUCAUCCCCAUCAUCCCCAAUCCUUGUGCUGGGAUUGUAGAUCAGUGUGUUUUUACCCCCCAGCACUCUAUCAGUGGAUUCUUUAAACACCUUUAAUUUCCAGAGUAACCCUUUUGAAGCUCUGCCCCCUUAGGGGUAAUAGGUGGUAUUGAUUGGUCGGUGGGUAUCAGCUGGCUGUAUUGACUGACAUAGUUAAAACAACAAUGGAGCAGAGCAGUGAGAAGCAGUCCGCUUUGGUUUCACACAGAAGAUCAGCUCAGUGAAGGGAAGAGACAGCUGAGGCUGCGCAUUAGUCUGAUUGAGGGUGUGGAUGUGUUUGUCCUCACACUGAAUAUUGACUAAGUUGCAGUAAAAAUAUCCUGGGUUCAGUGGGACUGACAAGUAGCUGUUCAGGCCCCCUAUCUUGACAUGUUGUUCAUUACUUUAAGAAAUGUACAGCUAAAAAUUUGACAGUAUCAAACACUAACCUUUCAUCAAGGUGCUGUUGUAGACUCACAUUGAUUUACUUCCCAGUUAUCAAAUAACAAACAAGCAAACCAAAACGAAAAUCACUGAGACACUAACAAGGAUUUAAAUGUAUGCAUUAAGAGAGGAAAACACAUCAUGAAACUACCAGCUUUUUCCUUCCAUAGCUUUUUCUCAAAGAAUACCGCUCAAUUUAUCCAAUCUUUUUAAGGUAUAUGUAACAUUUUAUGUAUGUUUUUUUUUUUAAACCAAUUAAUUGUUGAGAAAAUUAGGUGCAGAACAAAAUUGUUGUUUUGCCCCUGCCAAACAAAAAUGUUAAAUCUGACAUGAGAAUUUAAAAAAGAUAAUACCAACAUUUAACUACCUUUUACCACUAAGAAAUAAAAAGCGGUCAAAGUUAAUUUUUUUGCUGUGGAUGUAACUGUGUCCGGUAAAACAGAUGAUCAUUGAUUCUUUGGUUCAACUUUAUUUCCACACAGACGGACUGUCUGUGCCCACUUUGUGUGUGGUUUUUCUGCAGUGACAGACACUCUUCAGUGAUCAGGAAACUUUGGCAUCUUUGUUCAGUCUGGAAACAAAUGAAAGCCAGACACCUCCUCUUGUUGUGUCUGGUUUGCUUUGUUGACUGAUAUUCACAUGAACAGAAACUGCAGGCUUGUCUUGUGAAGUUUGCGUUCUAAUGAAACUUUAGUGUUAUUUUUUCCAACCCUUUCAUGUAUAUCAGAAAAACAGAAUCACAAAAUGAAUCACUCAGCAGUUAUUGUUUAAUUGAUCUGUGUGUAGGAUCGUUUCAUCACAAUCAACCCCCUGGAAUGAUUCGUGAAUAACAAUCUGAUCAUUUAGAUGCAGAUUUGCUCUGGACUUACUUUUGGUUUUUACACAUUUUUUAAAAAUACCUUUCUCAGAAGCUUCAGAAAAUGAUAAUUUAAACAUUUCUCUGCACUUUUGGUCACUUGACACACUGUAGUCUGCAUAUAAUUUUCAUGAUAAUUUUUUUUCUCUGAACGGAAUAAACAAUUAGUUUGCUGUUAGAAGAAAAAUCGUUUGAAAUAAAUAAAUUGAUACUUCUCAGUUAGCCCUGUUAAGACUGUGUUUCAGUAACACAAAAAACACACAACAGAUGAAGAAUAAAACAUUAAGAACAAAGACAAAGCUUAAUCAAAACCAUAGUGGAUCACAAAACCAGAAUUUUUUUACAUGACCUUAAAACAUUUCCUAAAGACACAAAAGUGUUAUUAGACAGAGACCCUGUAUUUGCUGUAAUACAUGAUGGGCAAUUGAUGUUGAUUGUUGAUUUUACUUUAACUUUGCAAACAGAUCAAUGAGAUAUUUGGUGCGUUGUUCAAAAGAGAAUUUUUUUUAUGUUUAUUAAAUGGACCGAAAUUUAUGUUGAUGCCUUUUAAUGACACAUAAAAUCAACCAAGACCAUCAGCGACAAGAUUAAUGCAUAUCAUCUGCUGGUGAUACAAAAUGAAAAUGGUAUUAACGUCAUGUUACCCACAGCAGUGACUGAGACAGUUGUAUUUGAGGUGUUUGUGUCAUUGUUGGGUGGUUCCCUGUGAAGCAACUGUGGGCAAUGAUAUCAAUCUAAAGGUUUCACUGACUCACCGGCGGACCCUCUGUGAAAACACAGGCCUCCCACCUAGAGCAGCAGUCCUGGUGGUCUCACUCAGACGUUAAUCAUAGUUUGAUCAUUAGCACACACACACAGAAAUCUUGGAAAAUGCACAAAACGUCCCUCCUACAAAAUCACUUGAUGCAAACACAAGCAAACCCACAAAGACUUCUAAACCACAUUUUCUGCUGGGAGAGUGCCUCACACUCCUCCCUCCCCCCCAACUGUCCCGAGUGUCUUGGUGGGCUAAUCAGAAACACAAUAGUGUCUCAGUGCUCCACCUGGAAACUAAUAGUGUUUAGACUCUGAAGGCGGUGAGUCAGAUCCUCUGCAGCCCUCUGACACAUCUCAGACUCUCCCGGCCGGGAUGGAGAUGAAAAAGGAGUCAGGGGUUUGAGUGGAGAUGAAGGGAAUGUAGAAGGAAAGCAGUGGGAGACAAAGGAAAGGGCUUAAAAUAGAAUAAAAACUCAAACGAAAAGUAAAUCUGGGGCAACCAUUAGUUCUGGAUGAGGCUGUUAUGACUAUCAUUGAUGCUGUGGCUAGUUUAUUCCAAUAUUUAUGCUUGAUUUAAUAGUGCACAUUUCCUACAGUAUGUUUGUACUGUGUUAGGUGGAGUUUUCCACUUUCUAGACUCCUUCUAUUUAUCAAAAUUUGAGCCUUACGCAACAAAAAUUCAAGCUCCGACUACCCAGCCUCUGCUGAGCUGCUUUAUGAAAGCGACCUUUGGACUUCCAAAGCAAUAACCUACCUGUUAAACUUCAUAUGACUCAUUUGUGUGGACAGCUUUGUAACUCCCAAAACAGAGGCUGAACUGAACUGUAGGUGUACCACUUAGAUGUAUUGCAAUUUCUAUUAUGACACAGUACUUUUACAGUUUAUUCCCACACUCCACACUGACACCCAGUGGCAUCUUUGUGCUAGUGCAGAAAGUAUUGGGGCCUUUUCAUAGCAAAGGGCGGAUAGUAUUGUUCAUCUGAAAAGCUUGUCUUUUUUCAAAAUAGUGUUUUAUGGAGUUAAGAACUGCAAAAUGCAACGCCUCAGAUCAGUGGUUCUCAACUGGUGGGUCCCGACCCAAAAGUGGGUCACAGACACGUUCUGGAUGGGUCAUGAACAGCUGGUCAAAAAAGUAAAUAUUUAAUGCGAUGUUUGUUAGAUAUUUGAAAUUUUCUGUAUAUGCAACUUCAGUAGUUGUCUUCCUCAUGUUGUCCCCUUCAUGUGCUCUGAAUGCAUUUCAAUCAAUAAAAGAAGUGGAUUUAUGUUAAAGAUUAGAGUCUUUAAAGGUUUUUUUUAUUUAUAAAAAAUAAAUUUGGUUGGUUUGAAUCAUAUAAAAGUGGGACGCGACUUAAGGACCAUGGGAAAAUGUGGGUCCAGAGUGAGACCAGUUGAGAACCACUACCUUAGAUCGAUUGUCUUUACGAUGGUAGGUUUUCUCUCCCUCCCUGGAGAGGAUGAGUCUGCUGGGUGAUGAAUAUUAUAACCAUAUGAUAUCUGUUCACCCUUGUACAAUUCUAAAUAUAAUGUGACAUUAACAGAAAGAGGCCAUCACUUAAUGCUCGAUGUGGAUGUUGAUUCUUUCCCUUUAUUUGUGAAAUCUCCCAGACAUCGCCUAAUUAAGUUUCCACGGUUAAACUUCACCAGACAAUUUGUUCCAUUUUCUCACACAGCAGCCAGUUAUGGUGACUUCAAGUCUGGGGAGACAGAGGAGGUAGUGUGGUUUUGAGGCUGUGGAAAGGACUGAGGGGGAACAUGAGUGAUGGAAAUAUUCUGGGGAAAUAAAGUGUUUUUUAAGACUAGAUUUGAAUAACUUCAACACACUGAAACACUUAAACACAAAGUCAAACAAGCUACAGUUAGAGUUUAGCUUUUGGUUUUAACACAUUUUCUACUUUAUGUUUAUUUCUUAUGAUCACAUUGGUGUGAACUCUGUUUUGAAAUGACCUUCAUCAAAAUAUAAUAGGUCAAACAGUCCAAUAUGAAUGAAACCUUUUUUCACUACAGACUGUAUUCUGGAUCUAAUUUUGGAUUUUAAAUAAAUCACAUUCACACUGUCUUGUGCGGAAAUACCCCGAGACUCAACCCUCUCUGACUUCUCCUGAUGACUGUAAUGAGCGAAGCAUGAGAGCUCCUGUCACCUGCUGAGUCAGUGAGACCCUCUGCAGAGUGAUGAUGAGCAAUGUCUGGUGACUCAUGCUGCCUCCUUUAUCAGUCAGUGCUCAUGUGGGAGAGUAAACACCUGAGAUAACAGAACAUCAGUGUCAGCUUCUUAGCUCAUCACUCAGGUUCAUAAAUCAAAUAAAGAUCAACAUUUUUAUUCAUUUUGUCACAAUCAAGAGAUACAGAUGACCUGAUGCCACACAAAAAGCCCACCAAGAAUAAACUCCUUACUCUGAAGGUCGGCAUCUCUAUUGCAGACGAACAAACCCACACAAGUUAAAGGGAUAUUCUGGCGUAAAAUUAAGUUGGGGUCAAACACACCGUAACACAGAGUUAGACACCCCCUCAAAAGAUGAAUGUUGCCGACUGCUUGCUUCUCUAGUUAUACCAACUUUAGUAAUGACCGCACGAUAGCAAUAAACAACGGUCCCAGGAGCCAUAAACAAACCUCAACCAAAAAGCCACUCUAUAGCCACAAAUAAUGCUCAGAACAGCACCUAACUUCAUCAACAGUACAUAUAGGGUCCCAGCCAUAGCAUUAGCCACCAAACACCUUUAUAACUUUGCCUGAUUUCUUUAGCAAAGAGACUAAACACAACUCACCCACUCUCUUCCAGUAGCCGCUUGUUUGUACGUAGACCUCUGGGCAAGUCCAUCGACUGCAGUGAGGUGACGCAGCUCAAGGAAGAACAUUUAUGAUCAUUACUUUAUCAUUUCCUUGAAGUAAUAAUCAUCAUAUUAAUCAUUUUACACUGCAGACGUGGUAGUUCUUCUGCCUUAGCGUCUCAGUCUGAUUGCAUUUCCAUGAAGAAUAUCCCUUUAACCCACCAAAACAAUAUUUUAACAUUUCUCAGCUCAGCACAAAAGUAUUUCAUUUUGGAGUUGAUCGGCCAAGUGCAACCAUAACAAUUCAAAGUUAAUGUUUCAGAGCACAAUGUUCUUUGCAGCUCUGGAUCCAAGCUCAUCUUACCACUGCACAUUGUCAAAUAAAAUGUUCUGAACAUCCAGGAAUAAUUUGACAGGAAGACAGUCGGCAGGCACUGAAAGAACAUUUGCCAAGCACUACUUUCAGCCAUAAGUGGUGACUUUGUAGGACAAGUAAUUAUAUGGCAGUUUAUGAAGAAAAUUUCUGCCCAGAGUCUUAAAGGGUGCAUGUUUCUAUAUAAAAAGAAGUUCAUUCGUGUCUUUGUAAACGCUACUAUAGGACACUUUAAAUAAUCGUACAAGCCAGACAAGUCUGAUGCUUUUUUUGUCUUUAAAACUUUAAUUUUAGCUCAGAGAACGUUUUGUUUUAUUUGAGUACAUCCAGUAUAUCUUAAAAGCACACUGUUGCUGUUGGUGCCAUGAAGCCAAAAGUGCACUUCAUUUUGAGAUAAUGUGUCAUAUGUAACCUCCUUAACUCAUCUGUUGACUCAAUCUCCUACAAUCCUCCUACAAAGAGCACUUUCAUGAGCUGGCAGUUUUUUAACUAUUUCUUAUCUUUGCUACCACUCCAAAGCUGCAAGUGAAACUCAUGUAAACAUGUUCUUGGAUUCAACUCAUGCUCAGCAAGUCUGCCCAUAAUCUGGGUGUCAUGACUGAUGACCAGCUGACCUCUAAUAGGGUGACCAUAUGUCCUUUUUUACCCGGAUAUGUCCUCUUUUUGGGGGCUGUCUGGGUUUGUCUGGCUUUGUCCGGGAAAAUUUAUAAAAUCCUUCAAAUGUCUGCGGUUUUGAACAUCAGUUUCGAGUUUGUGUCACGUGGACUUACUGUGUUAGAAGCACGUAAAAGACACUUGAUCCAACCUGAAAAACUCUCAAAAUUAACUUUGUGCGACUCCGUGACUCUGCCCCCACGUAGUCGUGUCCUCUUUUUGGGAAGUCAGAAUAUGGUGACCCUACUCAUAAGGUUCAUAUGGUCUCUACAGACAGUGUCACAUGAUAGAACAAAUAAUGCUGAAAUACAUAGCAAACACCAACGGUAGCUAGAAAGUCGCUGAACGCUAGUUAGCUGUUGCCUGAUGGUUGCUGUCAAGUAUGUUGUUUUAUCAUGUCGUUGCAAAUCCCAUUACUUUUUGCCUGGCGCCACCUUUUAUUAAAACCAUAUAAAACAUGAACACCCAUUGGCUCCCGAAGAAGCGUUGCUUUGUUAUGUACGCAAAGAUCUUUGUCAAAUUAGUCAUCAACUAGCGGUAGCUGUCGGCAGCAGGUGUUUCAUCUUGAGGUGGUUAAGCAUGGCAGAUGUCUUGUUGUGCUUCAGUACAGCCAUGCAUGAAUAACCUAUAACUGUAGCAUUUGUGUCAUUUGGAAGUAUUUCCAUACACCUGAUUGUCAAGCCUGUUUAGCUUGGGCCUCUACCUGCAUCUCAACGCCAAGGUCAGCCCCCUUCCUAGUGAGAUCCCCCAUUUUGUCUGCAAAUAAGUUGACUGUUGCCAACAGCAACAGACUAGUGGUUAGAGUAGCCAACUAGUUGAUUAGUUGGUGAAACCCCCAAAUUCUUUGCUUUGUUAUAAAAUCAAAAGAUAAGUUAUUUAGAUAAAAAAAAAGCCUUCAUACUUGUGUUACAAAUGAAAUAAUAAUACUGUGUGCGUCAUCUCACUCUGGCUCUUGACAUGUUGUGAAAAAAUGUUCACAACAGUGAUGAUGCUUUUUAUUUUCAGGUUAGAUGGUUUUCUACCAGGAAUUGAUGCUUACAGUCUGCAGCCAGUGUGCCUGUUAACACUGCAGAGCUGUCAUAUCCUGUUCAUUGCAUUAAGCUUGAAAAACAAGGCCAAAGUUGCUUUCGUUACAAUGCUACUUCCCAUUCUCGUUAAUGUCUGUAGGUCUUAAAAUAAUAUGAACAUCAUGUCCACAUCUGUACCGUCCUCUCUGUGUCUGUAGCAUCUAAAUACAUGUGUGCGCUUGUGCGAGCUGAGUAAAGUGUGGGAACUGCAGAGGAGGAUGUGUGUAUUUACCAAAUUCCCAUGACUUCCACCGGAUGAGAGACUGAGUUGGACAGGCAGGAACUCAUUUUAUCGCAACCACCCCAGAGAAAAGGCUGAUAUUUGAAGUGAAUUCAAAGUAGAUCAUAGAAAUAUGGUCAAGUCUUGUAUGAAUCCUCUUUUUUGGACAGGGAUCGGGUUGACACACAAAUAUUGCUUACUAUGUGCGAGUAUCUGUGGGGUUAAAUUUGACUGUACGAGAAGCACAAAUAAAUACAGGAUUCUCAGGAUGACACAAUCAUUCAGUUUUUACGUGUCACUCUACAGGUCCUGGGCCAAUAUGUCUAACCUUGUGCUAGAUGACAAGAUGCCAAAUGUCACAGAAAGUGCGGGUCGGGUCAAGUGUGCAGAUGUUUGCAGAGUGCUGAUUUGCAAGAGACUAGAGACAAAGAAAAUGACAUAAAAUGAAACCAUUUCCAGUCAUGCCCACGUGGAUUAAAAAAAAAAGAUAAAAUCGAGAAUGGCCUAAACCAAAGUAGAAGCUCAGAUCAAGAAACCAAGUGUUGCUCAUCCUGAAUGAUUAAAGGGUCACUUGUCUUAAACCAAAUGGUCUGAAACUGUACAUGUCAAGUCUCACUUUUGCCCAUAUGUGGGUUUGAAUUGUAGAGGCUCAAUUUUCCACCAAGAACAUGUUUACAGGGUAGCAGCUAUCCCUAUGUUUAACAAAGCAAAUACUCUUAUAAGGAGCUCUUAAUCUUGUAUUCAGAAUUUGAUUGAAUGAGAAAUUAAAGACACAGUUUGAUAGUUUUUUUUACUCAUUUGGUGGAACUAUUGCUCGGUGAAUUACAGCUUCCAAACCAAAGUGAAACCUUUGACUGUUUCAGGAACAUUUUUGUUUCUUUUCAGAUUAAACAAACAAGAUACAGUACGUGAUUUUGUAAACUGUUGGCAUGCUCAUUUUCCAGAAAGGGCAAGGCUGUUUCCUUUGCUGCAAGAUUUAUGCUAAGCUAUGCAAAAACUGCUGGCUCUUGCUCUUCACUCAAAGGCUUAGUUUUAGUGAAUUAAUGGCCACUGGACACAGGUCGUAAUUACAGAUGCUGUAGCAGCAAAUUCCCUGAGUGCAUCAGAUGAGCAGGGAUGUGCUUAAAUAUUUAUUAGCAUCUUCAUUUAAGAGUUAAAACACCUCCACACUGCCCUUAGACGCUUUGGGACCACGACCAUGUCCUCACUCGCGUCCUCUUCUUUUAAAUCGAACAAAACUCAAGGCAUGCCGGACGUCAACUUGUUUGCGGCCUUGAAGUAUGCCCUCUGUUGGAUCAAAAGGAAACUACAGUUGACGGUCUGUAGCAGUGAUAGACUGUCCAGUCUGAGUUUAAGCAGGUGAUUUAAGUUAAAUAUGAUUGAUUACAACACAUUUAAGACAUAUUGGAAUUUGAGUGAAGAUUGGAAAAUAUAACAGUGUUGUUUCUUUUAGAAAUUACAUUGGUUUACUUUAACACAAAGGCUGUGUCAUUCUUCUGAGUUUACAAAAGUUUGCUAACAUUUCUUGUUAGCUAGAAAGUCAUAUUACAACAUGAACAUAUAGUCUGGAUGUAAAGCAGACUCAUCACAAACUUUUUUACAAGAUGGAAAAAAUGCUCUGGGAAUUCUGGGAAAAUAGAAGUACCAUGACUGAAUUUAGCAGGAGGCUGGGCCGUUUCUCAUGACACACACACUGUGAGGUCAGUUCAUGGGUUGACUUCUCAGGCUUUCUGUUAUACAAACAAAAAUAGAGCAAGCAUGUUGAAGCUGAACGACUAAAAAAGAAGACAUUUCUCAGUAAAAGCAGAUUUUUCUUUUUUUAUACAUGUGAAUGCCUUUGAGUGUGUUUGUGCUUGCCUCUCAAAGUUGGCCACUCAUUAGUAGAGAGCUUUUGGAGGAAGUGGUGGUUACCGAUGACUCAGCCAAGCCAUGCAUUUCAUUCUCUCGCUCCCCACUCUCUCUCUCUCUCUCUCCUCUCUUUCUGUCAUCUGCUUUUCUGUCUACAUUUUAUUCAUUCCUCUUUCCCUCUCUAGCCCUUUUCAUUUUCUGUUCUCUUGGUCUCCUUUCCCUUUUCUUUCUCUCUUUUUUCCUGACUCAUCCUUGACCUUUGGGGGGUUAUUUCAGUGUGUGUGUGUGUUUUCUGUAUGGAAAUGUGUCUGUGUGAGCAGCAUACUCAGCAAUGUGUGUGGGAAGAUAACUGGCUUCCUUCAGAGUGAUUAAAACAUUCCUUCUCUCUUCUUUUUCCUGUCUUCUCUCUCUUUCGCAGCCUUUCAUAGUCCUCAGUGAAGACUUUCUGAUGAAGAGGAGGAUGAAGACCGACAAACUGGUGAGUGGAGACAACCCCACAUCAUUUUCUUACACUUUGGCUGGCAUUUAUCAGGCUCAAAUUGAAAGCAGGUCAAAGAAACUCUUUUUGAGUUUGGAUACUGGGGCAUGAGGAAAGUGCGCUGUUGCUCUAGUUUAAGCUUUCCAAUAAGAGAGUUUAGUUAAACGGACCAUUUUCUAGAUUUCAAGUGUUUAUUUAAAAGACUGAAGAAGAUAGAGGGCUACACAGCAGGAUGAAUGCGAGAGCCAGAUGGAAAAUAUUGCAGAUGUUUUCCGAUUUGACUUUUAUAACAAACCGAAACGCUUUUUGAUUUGUCUUUUAAGUAUGUUUCCGUAUCUUUAAAGAUUCUGUAAAGCAGUUAAUCAAUCCCUUUUGAUGGUAAAUAGAGUAUCAUACAGGAGUUUCCUCAAAGUAGGAAAUAGCAUAGCAUGUGAGAACUGUUUCCACCCUGCAGUAAUGGGAAAAAAAAAACAAAUAGAAACCUUUACAGAAAAAAGCAACCUUGAGGACGAUUGCGUUGAGUUUUUGGCAGCUGAUAAGUUGCGGCAAAUAUCGACUAAAUUUGGCACGAGGCAAGUUGCCCGCUUCUCCAAACUUAGUCAUGCAAUUAUGGUGUGACACACUGACCGCACCUGUGAAGGGCUGAAGUGAAAGUAGUGGUGUUCGAUAUCCUGAUGAUAUUGCAGAAUGUGCUUUGAUAGAAAAAAGUCAUUACAGAAUUUAGAGGCAUUUUAAUCUCUCAGAUCAAUCUGUGUACAGGACUGAGUCUUUGUGUGACGUUAGUGGGAGUUUCAUAAUCUGCACUGAGGCAUGUAACACAGGAUCUUUGAGUGGUAUGUUAUAUCUGCGUACAUGAGACAAUAACACGUUCUUUACUGCAAUCUAGAUUAAAAACUUUGUUUAGUCAGACAUUUGCUUCUUGAGUCUGCACGACUUGCUUGUCCACUUUCUUCUUGUUUAAGAUGUUCGAUCAUACAUAAAAACGUAUGAUUGUUUUAAAUGAUACACUAAUUGUGAAAAUCAGGUACAAUACUGAAACCACUUCUUGGAAUAAAAGUUAGUGGUUAGAUAUAGCCUACUGAUUUGGUUGCAUUAAAUUGAUGCGAUACAACUAGUAAACAUUAGCUACCGACAUUGGUGCAUAGCACAUUUUUUGAUUGGCUGAUAGGAAAAUACUGACCCAAAUACUGAUGUUUAGCUAAUCUAUUGAUGCAUACAUAAGUUUUGUCCGUGGCAAUCACAGUUUUUUCGUCUAGGUCCAUUAACUUGCACUAGCAUGCUUCUUUAGACAUGAAGGCUCUCCAUGUCUUUAUCUUGUAUCUGAGAAUAUCAGCUCGACUCACAUUUUCCACCUCCUUGCUACUCUGGUGUGCAUCAGAUGAUUUGACAAUGGUUUCGGCACAUUAGAUUUAUUGCUGCAUCAGCGAGUCUGAUUAGAUCUUUGUGCCUGACUUGUCAUCAUAUGUAUGUAGUCUGAUGUAUCUGUCUUUCCGUCUGACAGUCUAACACUUAGCUAAUAUAACUCUGAAACCAUCGCCCCAGCAGAUCAAAGGGAACUAGAAGUUAAUUUUUUUCCAUUUUUGUUCAUUCCCUAAAAGCUUUUUACUGGACUGUGAACUGAAGAAGAUGUGAAACCGAAAUUUUGUCCUAUUCUUGGCUGAAGUGUGACUUUAGCUGCCAAACAUUUUGGCGUCUCUUUUGUCGUGUUUUUCACUUUAUGAUGUACCAAACUUCUGCAGGCGGGACAGUUUAGCACCAGAUGUAUCACUUCUACUACAGAGCCAUGCUAUAGUUUGGCAUCUUCAGAAGAUAUAGGCUGGAUGCAGCAUAUAUUGCUUCCAAACCUGUAUUAAUGGUUCUUUCCCAGUUGUGUAAUCCUCAUACCAUCACCAAUGCUGGCUCUUCUGUCGCCAUCAUGUGGCAUUGCUGUCUUGAGCCAUCUCUUGAUCUCUUCGAGUACUGCAUGAAAAUUGUGAUAUGCGUCACCAGUGGCGGAUUUAAAGGUGAGGAGAGGAGCUGAUGUGAUUGGUGAAAACAGGUCUUGGCAGUGUUAAACCCUCUCCACGCCUUAUCCCCUCCCUCUCUACUACUUAUGCCGCUGGGAGGAGCUGAGUUAGGGAGGGGGGAUACUUACGCCGGGCUGUGCCGCUCACCAAAAUACCAAAGUAUGCUUGGGCACGCCUUUUUGGCACGGCAGACCUGACUUAUGCCCUUCUGCGCCAUGCUGCCGGCAAGGCACGAAAAUAGAGCCCAUUCAGUUGGCCUUUGGCUUUGUGCCGAGAUUUCUCUAGAUUCUUUGAAUAUUUUAAAGAUGGAUGUUACUGAUUUUACUCUAUAGAUGAUGAAAUACCCCAAACUUUGGUAGUUUUAUGCUGAGAAACAUUUUGUUUCUGUUUAACUGCCAGAUCACACAGUCUCUCACACAGAGCUCAAUUACUUGUAAGUUGGAGGACGUUCAUCUUACUGUUCACACAACUUUUCCAGUGAUUUGCUGUCCCCACCCCAACACUUGUUGAAAUGUUUGGCUGGAGUCAAAUUUAAACUCUGUUUUAUCAAAAAUAUACAUAGCAUACCGACUUUUCUGAAUUGGGGUUGUACAUGUAGAGGGAAACUUAAAUGCUCUUUAGCAAAAUAAAAUUUAGAAAAUUAAGAGACACCUCAUGGCUAAUUUUUUUCUGUAGAUUUGUAUCGUCAAUGUCUUUUAAUCUAUUUGGAAUUGAAACUUGUAAAACCAAGAGCACUACAUUUGGUGCUGUGGUGGAUUUUGAGCUCUGCUGUUUUGUGGCUGUAGGCCUGUGUGUGUCUGUGUGUCAGCUCAUGUGCAAUUGUUCUCAAAAAUUCACCAGAGGCCAGUUCAUUUUAGUCUUUCAUGCAUCUAAAAUUUAACUUUAGCCUGGGAGUUAUUUUGCUGUCUUACAAUGGUUUAUAACAGGUUACAACAUCUGCUGUACUAUAAGAAGAAAUGGCCACAUGACAUUAGAUUUUACUUUACAACAUAUCUUUCAAUGGACUGAAGACACAAAGAGCUUUCCUCCCUUAGACUCAGGAAAAACAAUUCUUAUUUGACAGACCAUCUUCAAACAAUGUUGAUGAGCAUAUGAAUGAAAACUCAGAUGUUUUCGUGUUAUCAGUUGUAAGUCUUAAUAUUAAGGGUAUUUUUAACAUCUUGAUGCAUUUUUAUUGAUCAGCAUCUGAGAGGACAGAGAACAUAUUGAGGGAAUACUAAGCUUCAACAACAUUGCCUAAUUGGUAGAGCAGACACAGCAAGACAACAUCUAGCAUUAGCAUUAGCUAACCAGCAAAUUUUACUGUUAAUUUGGAAAUUGCUCCAAGUCUAUAUCACUUACGAAGUGUUAACCCUUUCAAAUAAGUACGAAGUUGAUUCUCUACAAUGCAAAGCAAGCUUGGAUGUGGUGCAAUGCUAACAUUAGUUGUUGGUUAAACUCUAAUUAGCCUAUUAAAUAGUCAAACUUUCGAACGUUUUACUGUAACCAAUCAACAGGACAGGUCUAUGCCAUUGACAGUGUUGACCUAUUAACUUUCUUAUCGGGCAGCAAAGAUCCCACAGGACAGGACUGUCCACAGCAGAGCAGAUUCCAGUGUUAAUCUGAAACUGACACUGAUAUUUCUAGAAAGUUCAGGGACUGUUACGUUAAUGUUCAUCAUGCUUUCUCUUGCUGUUUUCUCUACUCUGCUAAUCUAAAAGAGCCCCAUUAAUCAACUUAGCUGUCAAUCAAGACCUAACAUUCUAUUUUUUUUUAGAAAAAUAACUCGUUAACGCCUCUGGAAACAAAUUUUGAACACAAAUCAUUAUGAUAAGAGCUAACUGAUGUGACAGAGACCAUUUUUGGGGAAGCUUUUAUUUGAUGCAUAUUUUGAAUUACGGGUUUAUCGAUGCUACAUUUAUGGAGGGGGCGCGCUUUAUGGCCUCUACUGCAGCCAGUCACCAGGAAAAAUUGUAAAUAUUUUGGCUUCACUCUUGGGGAAUUGGUGCGUUGCCUAUUUUUAUACAGUCUAUUGUCUGAACAUUUUCCCUCUGAACUCUGAUUCCUUUUCAAAAAACUGCUGAUAUCAAACCCUAUCAAUGAUCUCCUCAUUUUCAGAACCACAGGUGAUUGGUUGCCGGUGAACCAAUUUACAGAUGAUGCAUUAACUUAAAUCUGUGUCUUCACCCAACCAUGUAAUAGUUGUUGGAUUACCUUGACCUUCAUAUAUGUCAGCGCUGAUAAGUAGCCAGCUUUGAGAUUUGGUUUAAAGAUGAAGAAAAGGAAAAAUUGCAGCUUCAGGAGGACAUUUUUAUAUAUUUGACACGUCUUUGAUAUUUCUUUGACUCUCCGUCUUGCCCUUUAGUCUUUUUCUCUCUCCCACACUCUUCAUAAUGUUAUAUAAGUGGUAUCAGUUUCCAUACCUUAUCAUAAGAGGAUUUACACACACACACACACCCACACACACAGUACACUCACACCCACAUAUGCCAGCCCUGUUCCGUCAAAGCUCCCCUGAUUUACGGUAAACGUGUGUUUUUGUCUUUUGUGGGUCUGGAUCAAGUGAUGCAGUUAGUUUUGGUAUCAAUUCUAUGCAUCUCCACCACUGAGAGAGACUGAGAGCAGUGCAGCAUGGGUAGGUGUGGGAGGGCUAUGACAGAGAUGACUCAGCGUUCUGUUGCCGGGUAGAGACACGCCAAACACUCUUCAACCCCCAUACAUCUAAAAUAAAAAAAGAGAAAAAAACUUGCGUGUCUGAUGUGGCUGUCCUUCAUAUCACAGCCUCGAGUAAAUACAGUUCUUAUCUCAUCUGAAUGUGGAUGAUAGUUUUGCAUGACAGCAACCAUGCCUGAGCUAGUUCUGUGAAAAUAAUGUUAUUGAUUAACAACAAAACCAGGUAAAAAGGACAUUAUGUUGUUAUGUAAGGGGUAAAGUUAGGAGGAGAGCAAACAACAGGAGACAUGAGCAAAUUUGGGCCAGAUCUAUAAAUGUAUGCAUGCUUUGAAGUGUGCAUUUAUGUACUUGUAUGAGCCUAGUACUGGUUUGAAUCAAACUGGUUUUUGUUUGUCUAAACGUGAAACCAUGACAAUGUCCUUAAAAUGCCUUCUCACUGUAGAGAAACAUGAGUAAGUUACCUGUAGUUUUUCGAAUGAGGGGUUGAUUUACCGCAUAUAGAGGUAGACAGACUCAUAUUAUGAUUCAGGUUGUUUUUCGUAACUAGUUUAGUAAAUUACCUGAGAUUAUAACUGUAAAUCAUUGUGAGUUUUCUGUACAUGUCGUAGGUCCGGAGACUGUGUGUGCAUGCGUCUGUUCUCAUGAGUAAGAUAACAGGUUUUAGAGAGGUAAAUGUCACAGCUAAACAGCCAGUCAAAGUGAAAACAGUAGUGGGUCACUUUAGUUGUGUGGGCGUGCGUAGGUGUGUGUGUUGUGUUGCACCUUGACUCAUCACAAAUCUACGCUCUGAGAUACAGUAAAUGACUGAGAACUCUGGUUAUUACUCAGGGGUUGUAAGAGAAGUCACAAAUGACAACGACGUACACAAGAACUCAUAUUAUAUGUAAAGUAGUUGAACUUGUUGCCUGACAUAUGUUACUAUUCCUACCCUCUUUGGGAUAACAAGAAUAUUUCCUGUAUUUUUAGGUUUUCUUAUAGAGAAAUAACAGAAAUGGGAAACAAUUAUUUAGAGGAUAGUAAGAGUAUCUUACAGCUGAUGAUUUUAUUAUCUCUCUUUUUUUAAUGAAGUAAAGACAACUUUUUGGUGAUAACAAGCUCUACAAACUCACUGUUCCCACGCAGCAUAAGCAAAAGUUCAUAAAUUGAUCAUUUGUAAGGCAUCAUAACAAAGUUGGCUUGAACAAACUUAUAUUUGUUCUCCCUUGGUAGGUCUUUUGGCAUUUUUAUUGCCAAAUAAUCUGAAAAUAGUUUAUAAAAUCACCAUUUUCAUUCCAAAUUUUGUCCAGUAAAAGCUUCUGAAAUGAAGGGGCCUGGGGUUUGCCUUUGUCACAUAAUGAUACUCAACUGAAUAUCUUUGACUUUUUGUUGAUGACUCAGCUCUGCUCUGUUUUAUACAGCACCUUUCACCCAAACACGCAGCCUAAAGAGCGUCACAUUAAAACACCUGUGUUGAUAACUUCAGCACCUGUCAAUCAUAAAAGAAUGCAGCCCCAAGUCCAACACAAAAUAAAAGACAGAAAGUGAGCAUAGAAAUAGACAGCAAUAGAAAAAUACUAAUAAAAGACCAACCAUGAAAGAAAGAGCUAUUUAUUUUGCCAUUGUCAAUAUUUAUGGGCAACACAGUUGAAAAAAUAAAUAUUGAAAGUCAGCAGAUGAAUGAAUCUUCAGAUCUUUUAAAAACAGGCGGCAGAUCUCAUGAGACACAGAAGCAGGCGGAAAGCUGCAGGACUUGUGAAAAGAUUGCAUAUGACGUGUGUGUAGUGAUGGCAGACUUGCUCGAAGCUUUUAUGUCGUGUGUGUUGUGUCUUUUACUGCAAGAUACUAGGGCCAAGGCUUACAAUUGUUUUGUGAAAUUGUAAUUCGGACAUUAUCUAUACAAUAAAUAUGAUGUUAUUUAUGUUGGUGUUUUAGUUUCUUGUUUUGUUUUUACCUGUCUGUUAAACUUUAUUCAUGAAACAUUUUUGAAUCUGAAUUGGCUUAAACUUUCGAGCAGCUUGUGGAUUGACAAUGUUUGAUGACGUUAAAUGAAAACUUUUCUCCUUUUUUUUGCUCUCAGUUCAUCGUACAAUAACAAAGCAUUGUCAGGACUCUUGUAUGGGUUGUGUUCGAGGAAGUAUUAAGCCUUUACCUAAAACUCAAUGAAAGUGGUAGCCUAAUUCUGUGUUCAACAUGUGAUUUGAAUAAAUGAACAGGGUCUGUACAUGUUAGAAAACUAUUAUUGACCAUAAAUAUCAAUCUAAGUGUGGUACUGAAGUGACUUUGGUCAUGGUGUAGCAGGCUGAUUUUGUGUCCUGUUGGUUUCUGGGCAGAGUUUGACUGCUUCCUCCUCUUCAACAUUCCUCACACUGUUUGCCUGACUGUGGGUAAACAUCUGUCUGUGGGUGUGAAAAACACCGACACCGUGUAGUAGACUGUCUGACAUGACGCUCGGUAAAUAACACUAUAUAGUAAAAAUAUAGAAAACAGUGACGAGCACAAACAACGAUUGAUGCAGUCAAUUUCUGUCUCCACUAGAGGGCGGCAUCGUCUCAUAGAACUCAACCUGUUGACUCGUGCAGUGUUUAGCCCUGCUACAAUCUUUUGAAUUUACUCUGCUGACUGUAAAACACAUUUAGCUUCAUUUUCAAUGACAGUUUUCGACGUUUAGUGUUGAUAUUUCGAUGUAACACAAAUUUUAAGUGAAACCAGCGACUACAAAUCAUAGUUUAACAUAGAGUCUUUGUUUGCUUCAGUGGGAGCUAGUAUCUGUUGAGUGUUGAGAAGGACACAGCGGUUAUCAGGGAAACACCCAAGGCCGCAUAUAAAGAGAAAGAACCACCUGAUUGUACCGAUAAUAUUAGCCUGCUUGUGGUCUAAAUGGUGUAUCCAUUUUAAGUAUCACUAAAAUUGACUUUAUUUUGUACUUGUUGUGUUAACUACUCCGUAAAGCACUCAUAGCUAACGAUAGGCCUCCUUCAAACCACUGCUUUAUCUCACAUCUGCAUCAAUGACACUUUGGUAACUAAAGGGUGUACGUUCAGUAGUCGUUUUGGUCAUUAUUAAUAUAUAGUUUUGCUUUGUAAUAACUCUUAACGGGAAUAAUCGUGUCUCCUAUCGUGUGGCUUUUGUGAGCCUGCAGAUAAAAUACGUAUUUUAUUUUGUUUGCACAGAUGGGUUGGAUUUUUACCGAAACAAUAAUGCAGAAAAAAUGACACAAAAUCACGGUACUAAGAUAUUAGACUUACCCUGUAUUUAGCCUACUGAAAUAUAUAUAUAUAUAUCAGCCUCACAUAUAAAAUGUAAAAUGUUUGUUGAAAAAGUAAAAUCUAAAGGGUAUUAAAAAAAACAUGAACAAGACUCUUAAAAAUGAUGUCACCUGGAGUUUUUCUCCUUCCAAAAAAUCGGGAAAAAAUUGCAAAAAUCCUCGUUUUUUAUAUCCUAUAAUACGCAUGAAAGUUCUUUAUUCCAUCGUCUUUUCCUUCACAGAUGUUGGAUCUAGACUCAGUUGAAGCUUCUUAAAAUGACUCAAGAUUAGUCACAAGAUAGGCUUACACUUAUUCAUCAGAGGCCUGUGCUUGAUUAGUAAUCCCGCAAUGACACUCUGGCUGUGAUUUCUAUCUUUUUGUCUGAGUAUUGUAUUUUCGCUUUUUGUUUUGCAAAAUUUUAGUUUAGACCUGAAAAAAGAUGUCUGCUGAUCCUCUGCUGUCAAAACGCACUAAAAUGUCUCCGCAGUUCAUUAGAAAAGUCGAAGCAGUGUUUAGGAAAGAAAUGUUACUUUACUGUGCGUCCGUGAAUUAUCCGCAUUUUUCCUGAACCGUUGCGCUCAUUCUUGACGCAGCGCGAGGCUAUUUUGCAGCGAGUUUGCGCUUUUUAUUACUGCUGUGUACCGUAUUUAGCCUACAUUUCUCACUUCUGUACUUAUAAUCGUCUAUUUCAAGGAAAAAACUGAUUGAAUCUUAAAGUAUUCCUCGUGUAAAACAUCGAGCUCCAGUGAUUUUGUUGCGUUGUGAGUAUUUCAUAAUAUAGACCUAAAAUAAACUAGACACUGGAAUAUUUUACACCCCCGUGCUUUGAUAAAAAAAAAAUAGCAGGCUAAAUUGAUUAAAGUAAGAUAUUAAUCUUAAGAAGAGGGGAGGAACACCCUCACAUGAUAUGAAAUGACUGCAGCAUGUUGUUGACUGGUGUUUUAUUUCUCUGUAAACAUAAAAACAACAAGGAGCUGAUAAUGCAAAUGUCACAGAGGCUUCCUGUGUGAUGAGAAGGUAGACAUUUGACAUUUUGGUGUUGUUUUUUUCCUCCUCACACUUUCACACAUAGAAUCAUAAAGCUCACUCAAGCAGGGAUAAAUAAUAAUUAUCAGCAAUCUUUACUUUUCUUAAAGAUAUGAAGAUAGAGAGUGACCUAGAUCAAUGCAAAACAUUAGAUCUACUCGUAUAUCUAUUACUUUUAUUUGAAUAUGUUCAAGUUGAGUUUUUGAGUCAGAUUGGCAGAUUUAUUCAAUCCAACCACAAAGAGACCAAAGCAGGUAGAAUACUGUUCAGUAAUCUGAUUAUUAUAUUUGUACAAUAAUUCUCAGUCACAUUUAAAUACUUGAGUCUGCAGGGCUGAUAAAUGCCUCCUACUUAACUUCUGAGUCAUGCCGCUCCAUGAAAGAGAAAUGUGGCAUCAAGUCCUAAAACAUCUUCAAACGAGCAGCUGAUUGUGAAAACAACAUCAGGCUUUGAAUUUCAUUUUCUUUGAACUUUAAAUAUUUUAAGUUUCACAUCUUUCUCUUUGUGUGAGUGUGUUUUCAUGUUUCUGAGUCACCUGCGGUCUCGGGGAAGAUAAUAUUCACCCUGCUGCUGCCUCUCACUUUAAGUCAGCCGUUAAAAUCUAUUUAAAUAUUAGAAAUGCUAAAGGUUAAAUACAUGCUUUCUGGAGGCAGCAUACUACAGACAUCUACUGAGCCACCUGACACCUAAACAGAUAAGACCUGUUACUUUGUGGGUUGUGUAAAAUGAAUGGUGCAGAUAAACAAAAAAAAAAACACAUCAUUUAGGAGUUACUGUUAUGGAUUUUAAUGUUAAGAUUUAAAAACUUGAUUUUUAUAAUUUACAAAUGAUUUCAUGGUUAUUUUACAAUUAAGUGAUUAAUGUGAUGAUAAUUUUGUAGAGCCCACAAAAUCCCUACAUAAAAUUGUGCACUUUUAAAAGAAAAAUAAGGUGGAAACAAAAAAGGAGACACAAAAGUAGCUUUGACAGUGUGUGUAUGUCUCAUUGAGAAGUGAUAAACAUGAACUUUGUAUGAGGCUGCUCGCAUACUCAGGUACUGUGUCACAGACACGUUGUUUUGUUUUAAGUUUGUGGUCAUUUCGGUGGCCGAUAUUUAUGUUGUUGUAAAUUUUAUGAUAUAAUAACAACAGAAGAAUGUGUAGUUAUAACAUAUCCACCUUGGGCCUCUGACAGACUAAACAGUACAAUAAAUCCUCAUUUGAUACAGUUUGAACAAAAGCUGCAUGUGUUUUAGAUUUUACAUUGUGAGGAUAUGUAGCAGGAUGGCUGUAAGCCUGUUGGGCUGAGAUAGUUUGAGCUAUGUGUACCUGUUGAACGAGUAACAGAGAAGAAAGCUGUAGCUACAGGGCACACAAACUUUACAGUCAGAAAUGUGUGAAUACUGAGGAAUGAUGUUUUUUGCUCGCAGUGGGAUUUCUGUCUCUAUUUCUGUGAAACUGAACUCACGGUGUUAAAUACUUUGGAUGAAAGUGACGUCUUUGUCUUCGCUUUUGCUUCCCUGAUUGAAAAUCUCUUAUCUCUUAUCUACAGUUUGAAUCAUGGAGGAUUUCCAUUUAAACCGUAAUGAUAAGAAAAAGACAACCGCUAAAUUAUUGUGGUUAUGAGUCUCUCUCCGAUGCAUUAGGCUGGAGAUCUUUAUUUAGCUGUGGGGAGACACGUCUACAGGAUGUAUUCGUGACUAUGGGGCGUUUACAGCCCUCCUCCACACUGUAAAUUAAAGAGCAUUAUUUACACUAUGUGGAGCUAUAUCAAUCAAUCAAUCAGUUAGAGGUACAUACAUAAAAUAUGUUAAUGUUUGACUUUAGAUCUGCUCUGCUUUUUCAUAUGCAUUUCUUUAAGAAGCAUCUACUGUACUGGUAGUGUGUAAUAAAGUGACAGCUCGUGUUAUUCUCAGGGGGUACACAAGGUACCUUUAUGUCUAAGAAAAACACCACAGGUAGUUAUUUUAUUCAAGUGUGUUCAGUUCAUCAGUCAUUUGAUUCACAUUAAACUACAGUUUUAAAACAGCCAUGUGUAAAAUAAAGAUCCAACUAUCUGAGAUUGUAAGCUUCAAGCAGGAACUGGUUUUAAUUUUCAAUUAUGUUUGAAUCAUUCUGUGUUUCCCUUUACAUAAUUAGAUUUCCACUGCAAUUUUUUACAGAAAUACUCAUCCAAAUACAGAGAUCUAAGUGUGAUAUGAUCAGAGUUUCCUGGAGAGGACUCCCAGACUUCUGUCUCAGCAUGUUUAACUGAGCCUGUUAUUGUCUGUAUCAGGAGUUUCAGAGCUAUUCCAAUUCACUAACACCUCGGCCUUCAUUUUCUUUGCAGUUUUGCAUUAAUAUGGCACAGAACUGCACAAGUACAAACUUUAGAAAAGUUUUAAGAGAGUAAAGCAUUGUUAAACACCUGAUUGAAGCUCAGUUAGGAUUUUUACGUCCUAACACUCACAUUUAAACUUACCUCUGUACUAAGGGCUGAAGACAGUGCUGUUUUCAGUUACCAACAUGUAUUUCUCAAUGCUAAGUUCACUUUUUCUGCUCCCUACACACAGUCAGCUCAUCAGGUGUCAGAACGACUGUGUUAGCAUUUUUUGUUGCCUUGAUGCGUUAAGUAACCACACCAUUCAGGACCGAUAAGCAUUUUUUUCAGAGGAACUCCCCCAACAGCACUGCUCCGUGAACUACUCACAGCUGCAUUUGCCAAAUCUGUUCACAUCUACAAAACAAGAGGAAAAUAAAUCAUAUGUGACACUGACAGGAACUAUCCUACUCAUGAAGGUGACCCUUUCCCUCCACCUAACUGUGUGAUUCACAGAGGACUGCACCAGAACCAAUAACAACAUCACCUUGGAUGCUGGAUGUCUGGUUGUGUCUGCAGAGCAAUACACCAGAUGGGUCAGACACCAAGAAAGAUUCUUUGAGAUGUGGAAGAAAGUCUGAACAGACAAAAGUUGUUUCUGCAUCUGUGACUUUUCUGCAGCUUGUGGAUUUGAACAUUUGAAGAAUUUUUAAAAUCGUGUAGGCUUUGGUAGGUCCAGUUGUUUUUGUGCACUUAGACUUGAAUUUUUGAGCAAUUUGGGUGUCAUAAUUUUAAUCUUUUCCCAAAAACACCAUUUGGGAUCUUGUCAAUGCUAGUUUUAAUAAUGAAAAGACUAAGAGCUGAAAAAUACUCUGGGGCAGCAGUGGCUCGGCUGCUGGAAUCGGUCAUCUCACAAAAAGAAGGUUGGGGGUUCGAUUCCAGAGCUGUGUGCUGCAGGGUCCUUGGAUAAGACCUGCUGGCUGUGCCCAGUGGUGUGUGAAGGGAAUUAGUUGUCUGAAUGUUACAUCGCUUUUGAUAAAAAGUGUCUGCUAAAUGACAUUGUAAAAUAAAAUUGUAAACAGAAAUAGGAAGAAGACAUGAAUUGCUUGGAAUGAGCAGAAGAAAUCAGCCCACACAGUCAGAGAAUUUACUCUUAAGUGUCUUGAAAUGAGAGCUGACAUCUGUGAAUCCAUGAUCCCUAAGAGUUUUUUUUACUCUCCACAACCUUUUUAGCAAUGUUGCUGGCAUACGAUACCCUGACACAAGAUAUCUUUCUGGAAAUUAUUGGGUUAAUUCUGGUUCAGAUUAAGCCUUAUGGGAUUUCUUUUCCCAGGAGUAAUACAAAAACACCCUCAGACAUUUGAGGGUUUUAAGAGUUUAUUUGGUCACCUUUCGGCCUUUUCUUGGUAAGAAAGCUGAAGAGUGACAGGAAAUGUGGGGAGUAAAGAGUGGGAGGUGACAUGCAGUGAGGGUUUAUGGUCGGGACUUGAACCAGUGAUGAGGACUGUUGACUCAGUUUGUGGGUUGUACACUUAAAGCUGUUAAACCAACCCGGGCCUCAGAUUAAUGUGCAUGUUUGUUUGUUUUUUUAAACAUGAAGAUAUUUUUAUUCUCAGAGCAUUUGUUGAUAUAGGACAGUAGGUGAGAAAUCACGAAAGGGCAGAGGCUGGGAGUUGCACUUGCAGUAGAUGCAUCAAGGACUAAUGGGCGACUACUGAGCUGGCUGCCCCAACAUUAGUAUGAGUAAAAGAAAUCUCAGCAAAACAGUGUAAGAGGCUAUAAUGUGAUAUAACCCACAAUACAAUUAAAAGACAGUUUUAAACUUUGACAUCUAUGAAUUUUAAUAUUUAAUUAUGAGCAUCAAGCAGCAGCCGUUCAUUCUCAAAGGGACAUUUUAAUAAUCGAUCAACUUCCUUUUAACUGAGGAGAGGAUCUGCACUAAAAUAACCUCUGUAUGCGUGCUGACACAUUGGUAUUAAGCCAGUUAUGUAAGGCCUCCAUGCAAGAGGAUGUUGAAUCAAUAGCAGCAUUAAAAACAAACAGCAACAUCCCGGUGUUUACAUCCGACAGAAAUGGAUUAUCCUUAAACAUCUAGGUCACUUAAAUGGCUGAGUGUUAAGUGACGGCGCACAUUGUUUUGUAGAGAGGAGGUUCACUUGUCUGAUGUUUGUGUCUACUUACUGCUGUUGUGAAGCUUCAUAAGGAAAUGAGGGAAGGAUCCUGCCAUGAAGCAUGUCGGUUAUGGAAAUGAGAGAUGAUUAUCAUUAAGUCAUCCAGUCCCACUGACAGCACACUAACCCACACAAACACUUAGACCCAAAAGCUGCUAACACCCUCAUACCGUGUCACGCAGAUAAACACUCAAGACACCC
rnacentral:lncRNA from 1 species